rnacentral:rRNA from 1 species
UACGAAGGGGGCUAGCGUUGUUCGGAAUUACUGGGCGUAAAGCGCACGUAGGCGGGUUGUUAAGUCAGGGGUGAAAUCCUGGAGCUCAACUCCAGAACUGCCUUUGAUACUGGCAACCUAGAGACUGGAAGAGGUUAGUGGAAUUCCCAGUGUAGAGGUGAAAUUCGUAGAUAUUGGGAGGAACACCGGUGGCGAAGGCGGCGACCUGGGUUGACACUGACGCUGAGGCGCGAAAGCGUGGGGAGCAAACAGG